GUGUGUUCCAUGGAGGAGGAAUGCCAUGUGGGGAGCCAGGCCAGCCCUUUUAAUCCGCAUUAGUCGGAUAGGAAAAUAUCGUUCGUAGGACAGAGGCUGGAUAUACGGUAACACGAAGCUGGGCCCUGGAAGCAUUUUGCGUCAUCUGGAAGGGAACUAAGCUCGGGAGCAUUUCCCGAGAAGCCGAUUGCUAUGGUAACUCAUGCCCAGGCAUGGGACAGCACCAGGGAGAGACGCAUCAGUUACCUUGCCCGGCCAAAAGUCAAUCACCAGAUCAUCUGCAACAGGAUCUCCGUAUACUGGACGGACAAAUUGCCUUCGAAGACUCACAGGUUCACAGUCCCGGGUAAGAU